CACAGACGAGGAUAAUUCAUGGGAAAUCUUAAGAGAAAUUGUGAAACCAGAACUGUCACCCUCUUGAUCCCUGCUUUUACUGUUAUGGCAUCUCUCCCAAGUAACAAAAAGGUACUAUAACCUGAAAAUUUUAAAAAAAGAAAAGAAAUGAACCAUCCUGUGAGAAUCAGAAUGGUGAUACAUACAAGUUAGAACUUUGUCUUCUGUGAAACCUAAAA
rnacentral:lncRNA from 1 species